GACGAACGCUGGCGGCGUGCCUAAUACAUGCAAGUUGAGCGCUGAAGGUUGGUACUUGUACCGACUGGAUGAGCAGCGAACGGGUGAGUAACGCGUGGGGAAUCGGCCUUUGAGGGGGGGACAACAUUGGGAAACGAAUGCUAAUACCGCAUAAAAACUUUAAACACAAGUUUUAAGUUUGAAAGAGGCAAUUGCAUCACUAAAAGAGAAUCCCGCGUUGUAUUAGCUAGUUGGUGAGGUAAAGGCUCACCAAGGCGAUGAUACAUAGCCGACCUGAGAGGGUGAUCGGCCACAUUGGGACUGAGACACGGCCCAAACUCCUACGGGAGGCAGCAGUAGGGAAUCUUCGGCAAUGGACGAAAGUCUGACCGAGCAACGCCGCGUGAGUGCAGAAGGUUUUCGGAUCGUAAAACUCUGUUGGUAGAGAAGAACGUUGGUGAGAGUGGAAAGCUCAUCAAGUGACGGUAACUACCCAGAAAGGGACGGCUAACUACGUG
rnacentral:rRNA from 1 species